rnacentral:rRNA from 1 species
AUUGAACGCUGGCGGCGUGCUUUACACAUGCAAGUCGAACGAGUGGCGGACGGGUGAGUAACGCAUCGGAACGUACCGAGUAAUGGGGGAUAAAUGUCAGAAAGGAUAGCUAAUACCGCAUACUAUUCGAUCAGCCGAUGGCUGAUUAGCUGGUGGGGGGGGUAAAGGCCCACCAGGGCGACGAUCAGUAGCGGGUCUGAGAGGCUGAUCCGCCACACUGGGACUGAGACACGGCCCAGACUCCUACGGGAGGCAGCAGUGGGGAAUUUUGGACAAUGGGCGAAAGCCUGAUCCAGCCAUGCCGCGUGUCUGAAGAAGGCCUUCGGGUUGUAAAGGACUUUUGUCAGGGAAGCGGUACCUGAAGAAUAAGCACCGGCUAACUACGUGCCAGCAGCCGCGGUAAUAC